rnacentral:lncRNA from 1 species
ACUGCAUCGCUGCUCGGUUCUAGUUGCGGUGUCGCGAGUCGAAUCUAUUAUAUGACGAUUCAAUGAAUCUGAUCGUCAUAUCGGACGGGGUGAAAAUGUCUCAAGAUCAACGAUUAGUAUCACUAAAACAUCCCGCUACGACGGAAUUGAUUUAUUUGACUGUCACAUGUGCGCAAGUCGACAUAAAGUAACCGACACUUAAAAGAGAAACAUUCAUUUCAGGCUGGAUAGGAAAAUAUUGUCAAUCCAUCCCUUGCCUCGAUACUGACUCCGCUGUGGCCUUCUG